rnacentral:SRP_RNA from 1 species
GCUGGGCGUGGUGGUGCACACCUGUAGUCCUAGCUACUCAGGAGGCUGAGGCAGGAGGAUCACUUGAACCCAGGAGAUUGAGGCUGCAGUGAGCUAUGAUCAUGCCACUGCACUCUAGCCUGGGCGACAGAGUGAGACCCUGUCUCAA